rnacentral:ncRNA from 1 species
AUCUGAUAUAAAUCAACACGUGUUGUGAGCUACAGACAACAACGGCCGUUACUUUACCGGUAUAUAUCAUACUUAGCAUUUUGUGGAAAUAGCUUUAAAUUAAAACAUAAGCAUUUACGUGUUCAAUAAAUAUACGUGUUUCAUUAAUGUGAAAGGUAAUUUUACACCUACCAUGACUGAAUUCUAUUCCGGAGAGGGAGCCUGAGAAAUGGCUACCACGUCCAAGGAAGGCAGUAGGCGCUCUAAUUACCCACUCCCGGUACGGGGAGGUAGUGACGAA